GGGCUUUAUAGGCUUCAGGAUAGGCACUAGCUGCAGCAUGUGGCUGAAGGCCUUGAAGCUCCCCAAAAUUUCUUUCCCGUAAACCCGGAUCCUUGAUAACCUAGAUUCUCAUUUGAAAACAACAUGCAAGAUAUUUCAGAGGACCCAAUCAUUAAACGAACUAAAAGAAUAAACACAAACUUUUACAACAUUCUGAACUUUCCAACAAAUGAAGAUAACAUCUAAUGGAAUCUUUCAUCUCUACAUCACUGUCUAAGAUU